UACGUAGGGUGCGAGCGUUAAUCGGAAUUACUGGGCGUAAAGCGUGCGCAGGCGGUUUUGUAAGCCAGAUGUGAAAUCCCCGGGCUUAACCUGGGGGCUGCGUUUGAUACGUGCAGACUUGAGUGAGGAAGAGGGUUGUGGAAUUCCCAGUGUAGAGGUGAAAUUCGUAGAUAUUGGGAAGAACACCGGUGGCGAAGGCGGCAACCUGGUCCUUUACUGACGCUGAGGCGCGAAAGCGUGGGGAGCAAACAGG
rnacentral:rRNA from 1 species